GAAAUUCGAUAAGUAAUGUGAAUUGCAGAAUUCAGUGAAUCAUCGAAUCUUUGAACGCACAUUGCGCCCGCCAGUAUUCUGGCGGGCAUGCCUGUUCGAGCGUCAUUUCAACCAUCAAGCCCCCGGCUUGUGUUGGGGACCUGCGGCUGCCCGCAGGCCCUGAAAACCAGUGGCGGGCUCGCUGUCACACCGAGCGUAGUAGCAUACAUCUCGCUCAGGGCGUGCUGCGGGUUCCGGCCGUUAAAAGCCUUUUUUACCCAAGGUUGACCUCGGAUCAGGUAGGAAGACCCGCUGAACUUAAGC
rnacentral:misc_RNA from 1 species